rnacentral:misc_RNA from 1 species
GCAAACUUGGUCAUUUAGAGGAAGUAAAAGUCGUAACAAGGUUUCCGUAGGUGAACCUGCGGAAGGAUCAUUACCGAGUGAGGGCCCGCCGGGUCCAACCUCCCACCCGUGUCUAUCGUACCUUGUUGCUUCGGCAGGCCCGCCCUCGCGGCCGCCGGGGGGCGCUUGCGCCCCCGGGUCCGCGCCUGCCGGAGACACAUCUCGAACGCUGUCUGAAGUUUGCAGUCUGAGCGAAAUAGCGAAAUUUUGAAAAAUUGUUAUCAACGGAUCUCUUGGUUCCGGCAUCGAUGAAGAACGCAGC